GCAUUUUAAUUUGUAGCGUUUUCUGUCCCUGUUUUUCCGUUGGUACCCAACCAGAAAAAUCAUUUCUUUGCUAUUUUGUAAUAUGUUGUGACCAACAGAAAAAAAAUUACUAAACACCAUCAGAGUGGGAUUUCCCCUUCUGUGCAUUUAUUCAUUUUCCAUUUGCAAACAUUGGUAACAGAUGUGGAUUAAUUCCUUGGUGAAUAUGGAGGUAACAAACCGCAGUUAACCACGAGAGCUACGAUAUGUUUCGUCUUGCUGCAUUAAACAACCAAUCAAAUGAGGAAUCCUCAGCUGGAGAUCAGAAUAAGGGAACUAAAGAGGCGCAGGCAAGC